rnacentral:rRNA from 1 species
AACAAACGCUGGCGGCAGGCUUAACACAUGCAAGUCGAGCGCCCCGCAAGGGGAGCGGCAGACGGGUGAGUAACGCGUGGGAAUCUACCCAUCUCUACGGAAUAACGCAUGGAAACGUGUGCUAAUACCGUAUACGUCCUUCGGGAGAAAGAUUUAUCGGAGAGGGAUGAGCCCGCGUUGGAUUAGCUAGUUGGUGGGGUAAAGGCCUACCAAGGCGACGAUCCAUAGCUGGUCUGAGAGGAUGAUCAGCCACACUGGGACUGAGACACGGCCCAGACUACUACGGGAGGCAGCAGUGGGGAAUAUUGGACAAUGGGCGCAAGCCUGAUCCAGCCAUGCCGCGUGAGUGAUGAAGGCCCUAGGGUUGUAAAGCUCUUUCACCGGUGAAGAUAAUGACGGUAACCGGAGAAGAAGCCCCGGCUAACUUCGUGCCAGCCGCCGCAGUAAGAC